AGUGGUUCUGUGUAGUGAGGGGGGUGGGUGGGAGGGAGAAAGGAACCAGAAAUAAACCAGCAGCAAAAAGAUGAGGUGAGUGUCGUUCUUUCAGCUGGGAGCCUGUAACAUCAGCAUCCCACAACAGCCACACUGGGGGAAUAAAUGACUUCUCUAUCUCGGAAGGAAUGCGGACAAACAGACCUUUCCUAGCAAGGCGAUGCUGCUGUUUUCCACACCAGGUGAGAAGAAGACUGUGUUGUCAAGGUCCUGGGCUCAACAGGAUACACACACACACACACACACACACACACACACACACACACACACACACACACACACACACACACACACACACACACACAGAGAGCACCUGAGAUCACUAGAGUUGUAAAUCCAAGGGCAGAGAGUCAGAGAAGCCGAAAAGCCUCUUGUGCCUGAGCGCUUCUAAGCGAAAGGGAUUGUGACUAUGACCUAAACCCUGGGAUGCAGCGAUAAUGAGCUAUAGCUGGAAGAAGAUGCAUUCUUCUCAAAGAAACAUGGGAAAGUCGCUCAACCACAAAGGACCAAAGCUCACAUAGUAAUGAACUUACAUUUUAUUUAGUAGCGACUGGGCUGGGAAAUAACAUCAAGUGCCAAAGGCAUCUGCACUCAGGACUUUUCCUUCCUUCUUUUCGUCCACCCUUCCUUCACCAAAGAAGACCAAAAGGCGCAGCCCAAGCAUCUCUAAAAUCUUUGCCAGAGAAUGGGGAAUGCCAUAUUUUUGCUUGGGAUGAUUUCAUCCCUGAUGGGCCACUUCAGCAGGAUGUACAAAAAGUGACACGGGUGACGAAAAUCUAGACAGGACUGCCUUGACCCACUGACUUUGCACAUGAACGAUACGGAGUGGAUGGAAGUGAAGGAGCUUGCCUGUGUCCUCGGAAGACGAAAUGAGAAGAAAGGAUCUCGAAAGUUAGGUCUGCUGGAUUUUACUGAAAAAUUCGGUCUUACCAGUCCAUGUGCCUGCCUCCCUUUCAUGCUAUUGGAAGAUUAUACCUGAUGCAGUCCAGCUUACCUGCUUUGGUUGUGUCUUUUUUUCUGGCUUUGCUAUGCAAUUCAAACCCUAAAUUAAACAGAGAGAAGAAUGUUCUUUCCUGGACUAGACUAGAGAAUCAAAAGUCCCAAAGGACUAUGAAUCUAAAAUAAUGUGGAAUGGUUUGAGGAGUUGAUCCCUGAGGCUCCCUGUAAAAGAGAGAACCAAAUGUUUUAAUUUUCUUAGUAGAAAAAUACAAAAGCUGGAAGGGUAUUAAAAUGUCCCACCAAUUAGUGGGAUGGAAAAUUAAAUCAGAAACAGAAGCACCUAAUGUGUUACGCUUCAGUAGAGCUGAAGGGCUAGUUAAAUGGACACUGGAUAAACUGAAUCAAUAGCUUAUUUAAGUGAGCAUACAUCUAAGCUGGAAAGCAAUUGUACCCGCCCGCCCCCAUCCCGGGCUGCUGAGGGACUUUGAGGAUUUGACUCUGUCCCGUCCCUGAAAGCAUAAUCUAUUUUACGCUGAAAUUCAGAAAGGAGUGCUGGAGACAACUACAGCAACAUGACUGCGGCAGCCAGUUUCAGAUCCUUGCCCGAUGUUUCUUAAUGAGAUUCCUAAGGAGGAUGGGAGCCCUCCUAAGAAUGAAGAGACUUUAGUACUACUAGCCUUAGGGUGUUCUGCCUUGCUGCUGCUGAGUAAUUAACGGACACCUGAUGUCUCUUUUGUAAGCUCUGAAAGGACAUGAGCUGAUGUCACCACCACAAGCCCCUUGAUAUG
rnacentral:lncRNA from 1 species